GCUCCGGCUUCCCUCCAGGCGGCAGCGGAAGGUGGGAGCGACGACUGCAAAACGGCAGCGAUGGGCUCCCGCAACCUCCGGAGCUUGUGCGCGUACUUCAGGGACCGGCACCACGUCACCGUCACCUCCUGAGUAGUGAGUUCCCCUCUGAUGAAACCACUGGUAACUGCCUCUCCACGGAGGAAAAAGGUCUUCACCCGGAACUCUUGGCGAUGAACUGACCAAGUAAGGGAUGAGGAGGAGGAGCUUCUCAAGAGUUCCUAGAGAAAGACGAUGCCUGGGGAAGAUAAUGGCCAGUAGAGUUGGUGCCAGGGACUCUAGAAGGAAGAGGCUGGAGACAUCCAAGAGAAAUAUGAUCAGGAACUGGACUGAGACAGUGCUUGGAAGAUGAGUGGGGAGACAGAAAGGAAAAGGCAAGCUCUGGAAGCUGACAAAGUAUGGAAGGAAGGGCAAUGGCCUGUGGAAAAUAACUGAGACUUGCUGCCUGUGAGGCCAAUGACAUGCUGUCUUUGCCCACUGCUCCUGUCAGGUAAAUCCAUUCUCUCAGGG
rnacentral:lncRNA from 1 species